UUGGAUAUAAUAAAAAGAACGGAGCGGAAUGGAGCGGAGCGGGAUGGAAUAGAGCGGAACGGAGUGGAAUGGAAUAAAUACGUCAUUCCAUUGUUUGGAUAUUUCAUGAUGGAAUAGAGUAAUUUUUUCAUUCCGCCCAAAUCGGAGGGUACAAAAAGUGAUGGAAUGUGAUGGAAUGCAUUCCAUCCGAUACCACUCCAUUCCAUCCGUUUUUAACCAAUCCAAACGAUGGAACAUAAACUUAUUCCAUUCCAUUCCGCUCCAUUCCAUCCUAUUCCAUCAAUCCAAACAUACCCUAUUAGUGCCCUAAUUACUCUUGUUAUCAUUCUUUCUCUGUUGUGUUUCAGAUCCAUGGACUCUAACUUAUUUCUUGUUUAACAGUUCGAUAUUUAAAACUAGGGAUUUCAUUUUGAAAUCACCAUCAAGGUCUGAAGCUUUAGGAUUCUAUCAUUUCAGCCUGUUUUGUUAAGCUUGAUUCUACAUUUUCUUCUAUAUUUUUUGGUAUGAUUCCAAAACUCUCAAAUAUUUCAAAUGUUAUCAAUACUGUAUGUUUGAUUAUUGCUGAAUUGAAAUUUAAAAGUUAUAACAGAGUAAAUAUGUACAUGGUAAUAAAAACCGAAUCAAACCGGUCAAUUCAUUCGAUUGGACCGACGACCGAGCCCAUUCCAAUUCAUUUGACUAUGAAAACCGUUCUAAAUGAAAACCAGAAAAGAACCGAAAAACUAGAUGAAAACCUGAUAAGCCGAUCAAAACUAGCGGUUUCUCGGUUUGAGAAAUCAAACCAUUUUUUCCCUUUCUUUUACCCAAAUUUGAACAACCAAUAACAGAAAACGCUGCAAUAGUUAAAAAGAUUAUGUUUCUUGCUUUUUUUAUGAGUUUUAAGAAAUAGAGAGGGUAAAAAAUAAAACAAAUGAGGAGAAAGAUGCAGAGUUUAUGAUUAUGUUGGAAGUUCAAGAGAUAUUAUUAAAAAUAUGUGAGCCAUUCAUUUUUAUGGGAGUUAAAGUCUAAAACACGUAGUUAGUAUGAGAGCCAUUCAUUUUUAUAAUAAGUGCUAUAAUACUCUAUUGUAAACAUUGGUUAACGAGCUAUUGUAUAAUCCUCACAUGAAAAAUAAAUAAAUAUAUACAUAGCAUAAUAUAGUUAUAAUGUUCUAGUAUUAUAUGAUUCAAGUGUUAUAUGAUUAUUUAUGAUUUUUAAAUGAAAUUUAAUUAAAUUUUAUAAAAUUAUCAAUGACUGUUAUUUCUUACCAUGCCUCUAGAUUUUCAUGUUUACUAAUAAUUACACUUAUAUAUCUAGAACCAACAUAGUCUGGUUGUAUUUUAUUUCUUACCAUGCCUCUAGAUUUUCAUGUCCGGUUGUGCCUCUAGAUUUUCAUGUAUGGUUGUGAUUUAGAAUUAAAAAUUAGAAAUUUAGAUUAUUGUUUUUGAUUUGGUAUAUCUUGAAUAACUACUGCCCUUACUCUUUCAUUUAUUUUAGUUAAGUGUUUCAGUUAAUUUUGUCAAAUGGAGUAUAGAAGGUGGAUCCGUGAUCCUUCAAAACAAAGUCAAGAAUAUAUUCAAGGGGUUAAUGAAUUUCUUGAAUUUUCUUUUCAAAAGUCUGAAGAUAACGAAAAAGUAUUGUGUGCUUGUAUAAAGUGUGCUAACAGUAAGUCACAUACUCGCUCCAGUGUUUAUGAGCACUUAAUUGAUCCGCGACGUGGAUUUCUUAGAGGUUAUACACAAUGGAUAUUUCAUGGUGAGAGACCUACAACUUCAAGUGGUGCAAUUGAAGAACAUUUUGAAAUGGAGCAUGACAUGGAUGGGUUAAUUCGUGAUGUUUUUGCAAUGCCUCCUUUAGAAGAGACAUUUUCUGGAGAAGGUGAAAGGAAUCCAGAAGUAGGAGAAAAUGUUAAAUUUUAACAAUUGAUGAAAGAGAAUGAGCAAGUUUUAUAUCCAAAUUGCAAGAAGUAUAGCAAACUAUCCUUUAUGGUGCAUUUAUAUCAUUUAAAGUGUCUUCAUGGGUGGAGCGACAAGUCAUUCUCUAUGUUAUUAGAUUUAUUGAGAGAUGCUCUACCAGAAGGAAAUGUUUUACCAAAGUCAUACUAUGAAACAAAGAAUUUCAGGAUUAGGUUUAGGGUAUGAAAAGAUCCAUGCAUGUCCUAAUGACUGCAUAUGAUAUUGGGAUAAACAUAUCAAUGACCAAAUAUGUCCAAAGUGUGGUACUUCAAGGUGGAAAACAACAAAUGAGGAUGUAUAAGCUAAUGGAAAAGAGACUUCCGAAAAGCGAAAGAACUUACCCGCAAAGAUCCUUCGUUGGUUUCUUUUGAAACCAAGGUUGCAGAGGUUAUUCAUGUCAUAUAAAAUUUCCGAAUCAAUGAGAUGGCACCAUGACGGUAGAUUGAAUGAUGGGUCUCUUAGGCAUCCGGAUGACUCACUUGCUUGGAAGGAAUUUAACUCUCGAUAUCCAACAUUUUUGUUAGAUCCUCGUAAUGUUCGAUUAGGGGUGGCUUCUGAUGGAUUUAAUCCUUUUAAGACUAUGAGUAUAACUCAUAGCACCUGGCCUGUCAUGCUAAUUCCUUAUAAUUUUCCUCCUUGGAUGUGUAUGAAACAAUUAUUCUUCAUGUUAUCACUACUCAUUCCCGGUCCUAAAGGUCGUGGAAAUAAUAUUGAUGUUUACCUAUAACCAUUAGUAAAAGAGCUGCAAGAGUUAUGGUUUGAUGGAAUUGAAACUUUUGAUGCUUGUAAGAAAGAGACAUUUCAACUCCAUGCUGCUAUAAUGUGGUCUAUCAAUGACUUUCCAGCAUAUGCAAAUUUAUCUGGAUGGAGUACUAAAGGAAAAUAUGCUUGUCCAUGUUGUGGUAUUGAAACGUCCUCACGAUGGUUAAAUUAUGGUGGAAAGUUUUGCUACAUGAGUCAUCGGCGCUGGUUAGCGCCUAAUCACAAGUGGAGGUUGAAUAGUAUGUAUUUUGAUGGAACAAUAGAGUUAAGGGAUCCUCCUCCUAUAAAACAAGAUGGGGUUGAAGUUACAAGGCAAAUAGAUGAAACUAUUGAAGAGGGCCUACAGAAUGGAGCACAACCUUGGAAAUAGAAGAGCAUUUUCUUCACUUUGCCUUAUUGGAAGUAUAAUGUAUUGCGUCACAAUCUAGAUGUGAUGCACAUUGAAAAAAAUGUAUGUGAUAAUAUCAUUGGUACUUUGUUAAACCAAGAGGGAAAAUCCAAAGAUAAUUAUAAGGCACGUGCUGACCUUGAAGAUAUGGGCAUAAGAAGUAUGCUUCACCCUCAACCAAGUCCCAAAAGUAGUACAAUGCUUCUUCCUAGAGCAUGUUAUCAAAUGACUAACAAAGAAAAAGACGCUUUUUUUAGUGUUCUUAAGAAUGUAAAAGCUCCAGAUGAAUGCUCAUCAAACACCCCACGCUGUGUUCAUGUCCAGCAGCGAAAGAUAUUUGGCUUAAAAAGUUAUGAUUGUCAUGUUCUAAUGCAACAAUUUCUUCCGGUUGCAUUAAGAGCUUCUUUGCCCGAUAAAGUAACUUCAAUUAUUGUGGAACAUGUAACUUCUUCAAGCAAAUAUGCUCUAAAGUACUUAAUAUGGAUGUUCUUGCACAAUUGGAGUCUCAAAUGGCUAUAACACUUUGUCAACUAGAAACGAUCUUUCCUCCAUCCUUUUUUACCAUUAUGAUGCAUUUGGUAGUUCAUUUGGCUUAUGAAGCCAAGGUUGCUGGACCAGUGCAAUAUCAGUGGAUGUAUCCUAUUGAGAGGUUUCUUCUUACUCUUAAGUCAUUUGUACGCAAUAGAGCACAUCCAGAAGGAUCAAUUGCAGAAGGUUUUUUGGCCAAUGAAUGCUUGACCUUUUGUUCUCAAUAUCUAUCUGGAGUGGAAAAUAGGUUCAACAGACCUAGCAGAAAUGAUGAUGAUUAUACAUUGGAAGAUGAUGUGACAUUUCUACAUCCUAUUGGAAGACCUCUAGGAAGGAAAAAACAACAAAAGUUACAAAUAGGGAAGCGAGAGAGAAUUAGUAGAUCUAAGCUUGAUGAAAAGGAGUUAAUGCAAGCUCACUGAUAUGUUCUUUCUAAUUGUGACAGAGUCGCUCCAUAUAUAGAAGAACACAUUGGACUUCUUAAGAGACAGGCUCGACCUCUAUGAUUAUCACAACUCGAAGUUGAUAAACAACAUAGUAAAAAAUUUAGCGGCUGGCUUCGAGAUAGGAUUCAUCACUUAGAUGAACAAGGGAGCCAAGAAGUCACUCAUGAACUUAGAUGGUUAGCGCGUGGGCCAUAUGAGGUGGUAAGGAGAUACACCGGUUAUUCCAUUAAUGGUUUUAGGUUCCACACAAGGAAAAGAGAAAGAUACUUGAAGACACAAAAUUCUGGAGUAGUUGUAAGGACAAAGACCUCAAAUGAUGAAAUUAAUUACUAUGGAGCAAUAACUGAUAUAAUACAAUUGGAUUAUUCUGGAAAGUACAAGGUUGUCUUAUUCAAAUGUGAUUGGAUUGAUAUCAAAAAAGGGGUCAAGAAAGACAAGUUUGGGAUGACACUUGUGAAUUUUAAAUUUUUGAAACACACAGGAAAAAAUCUUUGGGAUGACCCAUUUGUUUUUGCAUCACAAGCUAAAAAGGUGUUCUAUGUAUAUGAUGAAAGAAGCAAGGAUUGGCCUGUGGUUUUAGAUGCAAAGGUGAGGGAUAUUUAUGAUAUGUGAGAUGAGGAAUCGAAUGAAGUUGAAGAAAUCCAUGAGCAACCAUUUCAUAAUACAAGUGAAGCUACUCAAACUGUUAAUGAUUUACCAAUUGGAGUUUCAAUUGAUGAUAAUGAUUUCUUUGAAGUUGUUGUUGAUAAUCAUAUUGGUGAAGAGGAUGAGGAGGAAGAUGGGGGGGGGAUAGGUUUUAAUUGUCAAUGAUUUUA